rnacentral:tRNA from 1 species
AAUCAAUUACCUUAAAGUUAAUUCAAGAAUUGAUAAAUAAAGUGAUAAAAUUUGUAAUAUUUUACCUACAUUA